rnacentral:rRNA from 1 species
ACGAACGCUGGCGGCAGGCCUAACACAUGCCAGUCGAGCGCGCCCUUCGGGGUGAGCGGCCGACGGGUGAGUAACGCGUGGGAACGUGCCCUUCUCUGCGGAAUAGCCUCGGGAAACUGAGAGUAAUACCGCAUACGCCCUUUGGGGGAAAGAUUUAUCGGAGAAGGAUCGGCCCGCGUUGGAUUAGGUAGUUGGUGGGGUAAUGGCCCACCAAGCCGACGAUCCAUAGCUGGUUUGAGAGGAUGAUCAGCCACACUGGGACUGAGACACGGCCCAGACUCCUACGGGAGGCAGCAGUGGGGAAUCUUAGACAAUGGGGGCAACCCUGAUCUAGCCAUGCCGCGUGAGUGAUGAAGGCCUUAGGGUUGUAAAGCUCUUUCAGCUGGGAAGAUAAUGACGGUACCAGCAGAAGAAGCCCCGGCUAACUCCGUG